UAGAUAGUAGAGGAAGGGGAUUGUGAACGAGAUCACGUGCGCUAUAGAUCAUACAUGAGAGCUGAGGUCUAUCCGCGUUAGACCGCGAAUUGACUAAUUUUGAGCGGGCUAAAGACUUUUCAGAGUUUUACUCGGUUCUAAAGGUGUGAUUGUAAACAAUGGGCAUGGGAAGUCAGAAAUUGCGUUUUUUUCAGCAAAAGAAAAGCAAGAAGCAGCAGACAUCCCCCGUCUGCUCUCAUCAGCCUUUACCUGAGUCGACCAGCAACUCUUGAAUCUCUCCACUUCUUGGUUGCCAAGUCAGUGUUGAACUAAUUGCCGUCAAGAACGUGCUCACCAUUGUCAAGCUGCCAAGAGUUGAUGUCAUCGUCACCUCGUGUGUUCAGUGCCAGCUCAUUUGGAAUUUGUCAGUACGUUCUGAAUAUACCCUUACACCCCCUCUCUCCUCAUCACUCCAGUUCUUUCAACCUAAGUUACCAGCGUGCUGUGCUAUUUUGAUUGAGAUACAUCGAUUCCCUGAACUUUUGUGAUGAAAAUCCUGGCCUUAAAUGUUUAAUUAGAUUUGUGAAAGCAUUACUCUUCUACACUUAUUAUAUAGUUGAUCAGGUAAGUUCUGUCAAAAAAUUGUUCACGAACCGUUACCCAAACGCAGAAGACCGGACUCUGACAACACAUUCUGACUCAUAUCGUUCAUAAUGUACGUGUAUCUUUACAAUGUCAUGGCUUGUCUGCAGUUCAUAAUAAUGUUAUAUAGAUGAUGAGUUGUCAUGGAUAUUUUAUAUUGUAUAAUUGUAGAGCAUGGACACAUUUCCAGAGUAGAAAGAACCUACAAAAAAAAGAAUUUCAAAACUAAAAGCUUGCAUACACACAUAGCUCAGAGUCCCUACUUCCUUGAUAUGUCUUCACUAGCAGGAGGGCCCACAGAGGAGGCUGCAACCAUACCCAGCAACACAGAUCUAUAUACUUCCUGUCUACUUCCGGCCAUUCUGCUAAUGCUUCCGUCUAACACGGACAGUCCAUGAAAUUGAGUUCACGUGAUCUCGUUCACAAUCCCCUUCCUCUACUAUCUAUGGUUUGACAGUUGAACAAUUACAAGACAAGCCCUUUUUCCUCACGUGAUAAUCCACAUGGAUUCAGUCAGUUUUGAAGCUCUGAGCAAACACAUGGUCAAACUAUUUGUCUGUAUUGGUGGAGGUUGAAGACAUGAGUCCAUGGACAGGGACUACUGAGGAACCUUCAUCAAGAACGAGUCUCGUGCAUGGACA